CAUCGCCUGUUUACCAAAAACAUCACCUCUAGCAUAACAAGUAUUAGAGGCAUUGCCUGCCCAGUGACUAAAGUUAAACGGCCGCGGUAUCCUGACCGUGCAAAGGUAGCAUAAUCACUUGUUCCUUAAUUAGGGACUAGAAUGAAUGGCUAAACGAGGGUUCAACUGUCUCUUACUUUCAAUCAGUGAAAUUGACCUUCCAGUGAAGAGGCUGGAAUACUACAAUAAGACGAGAAGACCCUAUGGAGCUUUAAUUUACUAGUUUAAUUUAUAUAAUAACAACCUAAUGGACCAAGACAAAAUAAAUAUAAACUAAAAAAUUUCGGUUGGGGUGACCUCGGAGAAUAGAAAAUCCUCCGAAUGAUUUUAACCUAGACCUACAAGUCAAAGUAAUAUCAAUAUCUUAUUGACCCAAUUAUUGAUCAACGGACCAAGUUACCCUAGGGAUAACAGCGCAAUCCUAUUUAAGAGUUCAUAUCGACAAUUAGGGUUUACGACCUCGAUGUUGGAUCAGGACAUCCCAAUGGUGCAGAAGCUAUUAAUGGUUCGUUUGUUCAACGAUUA
rnacentral:rRNA from 1 species